rnacentral:rRNA from 7 species
AAAACGACUCUCGGCAACGGAUAUCUCGGCUCUCGCAUCGAUGAAGAACGUAGCGAAAUGCGAUACUUGGUGUGAAUUGCAGAAUCCCGUGAACCAUCGAGUCUUUGAACGCAAGUUGCGCCCGAAGCCAUCCGGCCGAGGGCACGUCUGCCUGGGCGUCACAC